AUACGGAGGGUGCAAGCGUUAUUCGGAAUCACUGGGCGUAAAGGACGCGUAGGCGGGUUGGCAAGUCAGAUGUGAAAUCCUACAGCUUAACUGUAGAACUGCAUUUGAAACUGCUAACCUAGAGUAUGGGAGGGGGAGAUGGAAUUAGUGGUGUAGGGGUAAAACCCGUAGAUAUCACUAGGAAUACCGAAAGCGAAGGCGAUCUCCUGGAACAUAACUGACGCUAAGGCGUGAAAGCGUGGGGAGCAAACAGGAUUAGAAACCCUAGUAGUCC
rnacentral:rRNA from 1 species